rnacentral:rRNA from 1 species
GGGGGGGGCGAGCGUUGUUCGGAAUCACUGGGCGUAAAGGGCGCGUAGGCGGCCCGCACAAGUCUGCGGUGAAAACCUCCGGCUUAACCGGGGGCCGGCCGUGGAAACUGUCGGGCUGGAGGCUGGGAGAGGGCAGCGGAAUUCCCGGUGUAGCGGUGAAAUGCGUAGAGAUCGGGAGGAACACCGGUGGCGAAGGCGGCUGCCUGGACCAGUCCUGACGCUGAGGCGCGAAAGCUAGGGGAGCAAACAGGAUUAGAUACCCUGGUAGUCCUAGCCCUAAACGAUGGAUACUGGCUGUGGGGGGUAGCCAACCCCCCCGUGGCGAAGCUAACGCAUUAAGUAUCCCGCCUGGGGAGUACGGUCGCAAGUCUGAA